CCCUACGGGGCGCACCACCAGCAUCACUUCUGCUCCAAAUUCGCUUUCCAAAAUCUCUCCCUGUAAAGCUGCCAUCAGCCUUUGGGUUUGUUCGUAAACCGGGUAAGGCAGCACUAAUCGUGCUGUAGUUGUCGGAAUCUUUACUGCCCUUCUAACCUGCCGGAUAGCCUCUCGAACAGCAUUGCCAUAAGCCUUGACCAAACCUCCGGUUCCAAGCUUGGUUCCUCCAAAAUAGCGCGUUACCACCACCACAACAUCGCCCAAGCCGCUGCUCUGUAAGACUGCCAAAGCAGGCCUUCCGGCGGGUCCAGAAGGUUCCCCAUCAUCAGAGCAAUAGGUGAUCACGCUAUUACCAUACCCGAUCACAAAAGCCGCCACGUGAUGGGUAGCGUCAGGGAAGCGCUGACGAAUGUGCUUGUGGAAAUCCCUAGCUUCCUCCACACUAAAGGCGGGAGAGC
rnacentral:rRNA from 1 species